rnacentral:misc_RNA from 1 species
AAAGUCGUAACAAGGUUUCCGUAGGUGAACCUGCGGAAGGAUCAUUACCAUUAUCCAUGUAUUAACCAAACGUGAACCCUGGAUUUACGGCGUCACAAUCUGUGUGUGAAAUCGGGUAUUGAGGAUCUCAAAUUGUUGGGCCCAAGUCGAUUGCGGAGGGCUGCCAUUGCUUCGGCUUUGUCGGCCAGGUGAGAUGUUUACGUCUCCUUGGCCAUGCAGCCUCUCGGUCUCUACCCGUUCAGAGCGACGGUCGCAAGAUCUGUUGCACUGUGAACCCAUACAGUACGUAACCGUAACCUAUCGCUUGCGAACACGGCGUUCGCAUUCCCCAAUCGCAAUUUUAACCCAUUCGGCAAGUGUUCUAAUAUAUCAUGAAAAUUUGACAUUCAUUUGUCAAAUCUCCAAAACCUAUGUACAACUCUUAACAACGGAUAUCUCGGCUCUC